ACUAGGCUAUUCGGCCACUAGGGUAAUAAAAGGAAAAUAAAAUUGAGCUUGUUGUCUCAUGGUGGCAGGCCGAGACAUCUAGAGAGAGAUAGAGAAAACGUGAGAGAGAAAGAGAAGGAGAAGAGAAAGAAGAGGAGGCAAAGGUUUGAUGUCCUAAGGUUUGAAUUUCCCAAGAGCAUAGUGAAGAUAUUGGGUUACGGUUCGACCUACAAGGGUGUUGGAGAUUAGCAAUCAAAUGGGAGAGGGCAUUCGAUUUUAUAUUUUGGUGUACUAAAGAGUUGUGGUGCAACUUGUGCCACGUGUGCAUGGCCCGUGCACACGUGGGGUAUGCGUGUUGGACAUAUGAAAUCUUACAGGAUUUUAAGAUGAACGUUUGAUUGUGAAUCUAGGCUCGUUGUGAAGUACCCCACACUUUAUUUUGCUUGGACUUGAGUAGGUUGUUAGCGUGCUGAACGCAACACAACAAAUGAGUUACUAAGGAUAUGACGUAACUCAUAAGGCGAACGUGCCGAGGUUUUUCGAGGACCUGAGUUCCUGUUCAUAAAUGAGGUCUUACCGGUUUAUGCUUUUGUUGGCUACCUCUUGAUGUCACAUGGACAAUAGGAGUGUCAUGAUUGCAUGAUGUAUGAUUAAUGAUUAUGAAUUUGAUAUGACUAUGAAUGAAUAUGAUAUGGUUAUGAUAUGACUUGCCAUGAAUUUACGAUACGUAUGUAGUUUUUCUUGUGUUUUCUUGAAUAUUGUUGUAUUUUUUUGUACUUACUUACUGGGCUUUAUGCUCAUCCUAUUACUUUUCCCCAUUCAGGAAGACAAUAGGGUUUCUCCUUGGCACGCAUAGUGAUGUGGGAAGUUUCGAUGACUAGGCAUGUAUGAUGCGGGGUGUCCUAUAAGGGAUUAAUGAUCAAGAUGAGUGCCAAGAAUAAUUAAUAACUUAUGUUAUGGUUUAUGUUUUUAAUUACGUCAGUGGAACUUUUUAUUUUAUUUUAUUUUCAAAGACUACAUAAAGACAACAUUUUUAUUUCAAACUAUCGGGCCCAAAUUGCAUGUAAUAUCAUGACCCCACUGAACAUUUUCUCUAAAA